GGCAACAGUCAGAAUGAACAGAUAGCUUUUUAAAACAGUGUUCAAAGAAAAAAGUAAGAUCUCAGAAGCUAAGCAGAGUCGGGCCUGGUUACUACCUGGAUGGGAGACCACCUAGGAAGACCAGGUGCUGUAGGCA
rnacentral:rRNA from 1 species